GUAGGGAAUCUUGCACAAUGCGCGAAAGCGUGAUGCAGCAAUGCCGCGUGUGGGAAGAAGGGCUUCGGCUCGUAAACCACUUUCAGUUGGGACGAAGCUGUUGCCGUUAAUAGCGGUAUGCAGUGACGGUACCUUCACAAGAAGCCCCGGCUAACUACGUGCCAGCAGCCGCGGUAAUACGUAGGGGGCAAGCGUUGUCCGGAAUCAUUGGGCGUAAAGAGCGUGUAGGCGGUUCAGUAAGUCUGCUGUGAAAGUCCAGGGCUCAACCCUGGGAUGCCGGUGGAUACUGUUGAACUCGAGUCCGGAAGAGGCGAGUGGAACUCCUGGUGUAGCGGUGAAAUGCGCAGAUAUCAGGAAGAACACCAAUGGCGAAGGCAGCUCGCUGGGACGUGACUGACGCUGAGACGCGAAAGCGUGGGGAGCAAACAGG
rnacentral:rRNA from 1 species